GCGGGUAUGGCGGAAUUGGUAGACGCAGAAGACUUAAAAUUUUCCGGUCCUUGACCGUGUCGGUUCGAGUCCGACUACCCGCACCA
rnacentral:tRNA from 1 species